rnacentral:rRNA from 1 species
CAAGGUUUCCGUAGGUGAACCUGCGGAAGGAUCAUUACUGAACGAAAUGGGUGGCAAGGCUGUCGCUGGCUUAAAUGAGCAUGUGCACGUCUUUUUGUCGCUUACUUCAUUCUCUCUUCCACCUGUGCACUCUUUGUAGACACUUGGGAUGUGAGAGAGGGGUUGGCAUUGAUUUGUCGGACUUCUCUUGAUAUUGAAAAUCUGGGUGUUUAUGUAUUUUUUGACAUACACGGUUGAAUGUCUAUAGAAUGAAAUUAUAGGCUCUUGUCAGCCUUUAAAUGAUAAAAUACAACUUUCAACAACGGAUCUCUUGGCUCUCGCAUCGAUGAAGAACGCAGCGAAAUGCGAUAAGUAAUGUGAAUUGCAGAAUUCAAGUGAAUCAUCGAAUCUUUGAACGCAUCUUGCGCUCCUUGGUAUUCCGAGGAGCAUGCCUGUUUGAGUGUCAUUAAAUAUCUCAAAACUCUUGUGCUUUUGUUGGCAUAGGACUUUUGGACAUUGGGAGUUGCCGGCUGCUGGUAAAGUAGUGGGCUCUUCUGAAAAGCAUUAGUUGAGGAGCUUUGCACUCUUAUUGGUGUGAUAAACUAUCUAUGCCAAGAGAUGCUUCAUGAUCCUCUGCCGUCUAACUGUCUUUAUAAGACAAUAUGAUAAACUUGACCUCAAAUCAGGUAGGACUACCCG